rnacentral:rRNA from 1 species
AAUGAACGUUGGCGGCGUGGAUUAGGCAUGCAAGUCGCGCGACGAAGGUUCCUUCGGGGACUGGAGGAGCGGCAAACGGGGUAGUAAGGCAUCGGAACGUACCCUCUCGUCUGGGAUAGCCACGGGAAACUGUGAGUAAUACCGGAUGAUAUCGAGAGAUCAAAGGUCCGCCGCGAGGGGAGCGGCCGAUGUGAUACCAGCUAGUUGGUAGGGUAAUGGCCUACCAAGGCUUAGACGUCUAGGGGGUNUGAGAGCAUGGCCCCCACACUGGGACUGAGAUACUGCCCAGACACCUACGGGUGGCUGCAGUCGAGAAUCUUCGGCAAUGGGCGCAAGCCCUGACCGGAGCAACGCCGCGUGCGGGAUGAAGGCCCUUGGGUUGUAAACCGCUGUCAGGGGGAUGAAAGCGCAAGCUUGACAGAGCCCCAGAGGAAGCACGGGCUAAGUUCGUGCCAGCAGCCGCGGUAAAGUU